UACGAAGGGGGCUAGCGUUGCUCGGAAUCACUGGGCGUAAAGCGCACGUAGGCGGCUUCUUAAGUCAGGGGUGAAAUCCUGGAGCUCAACUCCAGAACUGCCUUUGAUACUGAGGAGCUUGAGUCCGGGAGAGGUGAGUGGAACUGCGAGUGUAGAGGUGAAAUUCGUAGAUAUUGGGAAGAACACCGGUGGCGAAGGCGGCUCUCUGGACCACAACUGACGCUGAGGCGCGAAAGCGUGGGGAGCAAACAGG
rnacentral:rRNA from 1 species